rnacentral:rRNA from 1 species
AACGAACGCUGGCGGCAUGCCUAACACAUGCAAGUCGAACGAGACCUUCGGGUCUAGUGGCGCACGGGUGCGUAACGCGUGGGAACCUGCCCUUAGGUUCGGAAUAACUCCCCGAAAGGGGUGCUAAUACCGGAUAAUGUCUUCGGACCAAAGAUUUAUCGCCUUUGGAUGGGCCCGCGUUGGCUUAGCUAGUUGGUAGGGUAAACGCCUACCAAGGCGACGAUCCAUAGCUGGUCUGAGAGGAUGAUCAGCCACACUGGGACUGAGACACGGCCCAGACUCCUACGGGAGGCAGCAGUGGGGAAUAUUGGACAAUGGGCGAAAGCCUGAUCCAGCAAUGCCGCGUGAGUGAUGAAGGCCUUAGGGUUGUAAAGCUCUUUUACCCGGGAUGAUAAUGACAGUACCGGGAGAAUAAGCUCCGGCUAACUCCGUG